CAUCUCCAAUCAUUUCCAUCUUCUUGGCUGUCUGAAACAAGCAAACUCCAACCUCCAAAGAUGUGUGAACUACAAAGACUUUACGUUGUUGUCUCUUCACAACCUCAAGCUCUUCAUCUAAGGAACACGACCUAGAUGUAAUUGGUAUACUAUGGGUUAACUCAGAACCUGUUUCACGAAAUGCCUGAGUGAGAUGAGAAAUGAUUGAGGCCGACUCGUAUAUGAGGGUAACUUGGCGUAUGCCCAUUGACUCUAAAAUGGCAGCCACUGCGUUCAUCUGUGUGGAUUGUGUAGGAACUGCGUGAAUGAGAAAUGGCCAUUGAUUGGUUGAUUGUAGCGGUAUCGUGCCAGCGAAGGAAAGAAAGACGGGGAUGUCGUGAUCAGGUUCGCUGUCGCUGAUAACCUCGGCUAUGGUAGAUGCUUCCUCCCAUGUAUGUCCUCCCAAAAUGACCUUCACUUUGUGUUCGUCAACAAGCUCUUUCGCUGCAUUAACUGCUUGAACAUGCUUGUUUCGAGAGUUUUUAAGGUAUAAAACCAAAGGUUGAUCGAUUUUGAUGUUGAAGUCUUGAACUGCUAAUUCAAUUGCCACUUUGGCCUCUUUGCCGGGCCUAGACGUUGGGUCAAGGAUGACACCAACGCCCGUCUCAUUUCCAGCUUUUGGCGCGGUAGUCAAGAUUUUGGCUGCUAGGGUUGCUUGCAGAGGAAGAAAACAUGUUAAUGAAAAAGCAACCAAAGAAAGAAUCAUGCAACUAUAUAAGUUAUGCAUCUUUUUGAGAUUCUACUUUAAUCUUUUCGUGGAUUUCUACGUAUCUCAAAAGCUAUUGUA
rnacentral:lncRNA from 1 species